UACGAAGGGGGCUAGCGUUGUUCGGAAUUACUGGGCGUAAAGCGCGUGUAGGCGGGUCUUUAAGUCAGGGGUGAAAUGCCAAGGCUCAACCUUGGAACUGCCUUUGAUACUGGAGACCUUGAGUCCGGGAGAGGUGAGUGGAAUUGCGAGUGUAGAGGUGAAAUUCGUAGAUAUUCGCAAGAGCACCAGUGGCGAAGGCGGCUCACUGGCCCGGAACUGACGCUGAGAUGCGAAAGCGUGGGGAGCAAACAGG
rnacentral:rRNA from 1 species